ensembl:lncRNA
CAAAUACACUGCUGGAACACCGAUUUAAGGUGUUUACUGUUUUAAUAAUUCUAAAGAUUGCUCAGAAAGAGAAAGGCAUUUACAUGACUAUUGCCAAAUCUGCCUACUACCAGAGUCAGUUCGAUGUCUAAUUAUUAGUGGGCAUGUAGACCUCCUCAGUGGCGGCCACCUGUGUUAAUUAGCGAUCUAACAUUCUCCGAACACCUGUGUGUAAGUGUAACUAACUGGGGAGGAAGUGUAGUGCAUCAACUGAAGGCAUGCCAUGCCGCUUGUGGAUCUGUUCAAAACUGCUACCGAGAAGUCUUCCCUCACUCCCCAUCCACCCCCAUGAAACAACACCUCUGAUAAGGGCGUCUAUGGAUGAAGACAUGGAUUUCUCAUGGUAUGGUGGGGUGAUUUUUGCACUUGCGUAGGAGAGGAGACAGAGUGAUUCCAACGGCACUUGACACCCAGCGGGGCAAGGUGGUCACUUACCUGGAUGACUUUCAAGCAAAAGCAGAGGAAGUCUUUCUGGUUCAGUUGAGAAGAAUGAAGUUGGCUUACUCAAAGUUUAUCUUGACGCAAGACAAGAGUGGGGUUGUUUUCUGUCAUAACUUGUCUGUAGUUCACCGUUGCUGAAUUUAUUGAGUGCUUAAAUAUGUGAAGAGUUUAUUUCCAAAACUCCAUAUCCACCAAUUUUUCACAUUUGUGUUAUUUCAUCAGAAAUGAUUGCCAAUGGGUACCUUCAUGUGUGUGUAAAAUAUUACUGUUCUCAGAUGUUUUAUUUUGUCGAUUUUAUGAAUGUGUUUUUUUGCAAAACGCUAUAUAUCCAUUGUUUAGCUGGAUUGGAAUGUUCAUAUCCUGUAUAUUUGACUGUGAUGUUGUUGUCUCACAAAGCUAUCUUAAGGUGGAUUGCACUAACUGUAAGUCGCUCUGGAUAAGAGCAUCUGCUAAAUGACUUAAAUGUAAAAUGUUAAUGUUUUACAUACAGAUCUCAUAUUACUGAAUUGAAUUAUUAUUAUUAUUUUAUUAUCUUAUUUAUAUUGAUGUCACAAAUGUAUCAUUUGUACAGUUCUUUAUAAAAAAUGUAGUUAUUUGUUACAUUUGACUGUAAAACCUAGCAGUGCUACUUAUUUCUCUGAGAGGCAGAUAUACAGCAUUUUGCAAAAAAAAAUGGUUGAUUAUUUGUGUCUCUGGAAUUAAACCAUCAAGUGAUAGAUUUUAAACAAAUAUGUCUGUCAUUGAACAUGCCAUAAUAAAAAACACAG